rnacentral:rRNA from 1 species
UAGAGUUUGAUCAUGGCUCAGAACGAACGCUGGCGGCGUGCUUAACACAUGCAAGUCGAACGAGAAAGCUCCUUCGGGAGUGAGUAGAGUGGCGCACGGGUGAGUAAUACAUAGGAACGUACCAUUUAGUGGGGAAUAACUACCGGAAACGGUGGCUAAUACCGCAUAAUGUCUUAUAAGUAAAGUUAUAUUGAUUAAAGGAGGCCUCUGCUUGCAUGCUUUCGCUAAAUGAUCGGCCUAUGUCCCAUUAGCUUGUUGGUAGGGUAAUGGCCUACCAAGGCAACGAUGGGUAGCUGGUCUUAGAGGAUGAUCAGCC